rnacentral:rRNA from 1 species
AUACGGAGGAUGCGAGCGUUAUCCGGAUUUAUUGGGUUUAAAGGGUGCGUAGGCGGGCCGGUAAGUCAGCGGUGAAACGCAGGUGCUCAACACCUGACCUGCCGUUGAAACUGCCGGUCUUGAAUGCGGAUGCUGUGGGAGGAAUGUGUGGUGUAGCGGUGAAAUGCAUAGAUAUCACACAGAACACCGAUUGCGAAGGCAUCUCACAAAUCCGUGAUCGACGCUGAGGCACGAAAGUGCGGGGAUCGAACAGGAUUAGAUACCCUGGUAGUCCGCACUGUAAACGAUGAUGACUCGCUGUCGGCGAUAGACAGUCGGUGGCCAAGCGAAAGCGAUAAGUCAUCCACCUGGGGAGUACGACCGCAAGGUUGAAACUCAAAUGAAUUGACGGGG